CCUACGGGGGGCUGCAGUGGGGAAUAUUGGACAAUGGGGGCAACCCUGAUCCAGCCAUGCCGCGUGUGUGAAGAAGGCCCUCGGGUUGUAAAGCACUUUCAGUGAGGAAGAACGCCUGGUGGUUAAUACCCAUCAGGAAAGACAUCACUCACAGAAGAAGCACCGGCUAACUCCGUGCCAGCAGCCGCGGUAAUACGGAGGGUGCGAGCGUUAAUCGGAAUUACUGGGCGUAAAGCGCGCGUAGGUGGCUUGAUAAGCCGGUUGUGAAAGCCCCGGGCUCAACCUGGGAACGGCAUCCGGAACUGUCAAGCUAGAGUGCAGGAGAGGAAGGUAGAAUUCCCGGUGUAGCGGUGAAAUGCGUAGAGAUCGGGAGGAAUACCAGUGGCGAAGGCGGCCUUCUGGACUGACACUGACACUGAGGUGCGACAGCGUGGGUAGCAAACAGGAUUAGAUACCCGGGUAGUC
rnacentral:rRNA from 1 species